AGUUGCAACGAACAGAGGCCGUUUGAGAAGCGUUAUCGGAAUUUUGUGUUGCUGAAUUGAUGGUUGUUAAGCGAUUAUACCAGAAGCCCGCAAUCAUAAUAAAACACCAUAACAGCAAAGAAUAUUGCUUACUAAGAGGUUUUGUAGGAAUUACACUUCUGAACGAAGCUGAAAGCUGCCCCAACAAAUCAGUUUCCUGCAUGGAAUUCGAAUAUCACAUCCUGUUGACAUAAAAGAAAUCUUGUCGUUCAGAUGUACCUCUGAUAUUUUUAUGGACUUUCAUCAACUAAAGAAGGACAAUAUAUUUAUAAGGAGUCUUCAUCUAUACAUCAACCUUUUUAUAUU